CAGGCCUAACACAUGCAAGUCGAGCGGGCGUAGCAAUACGUCAGCGGCAGACGGGUGAGUAACGCGUGGGAACAUACCUUUUGGUUCGGAACAACACAGGGAAACUUGUGCUAAUACCGGAUAAGCCUUACGGGGAAAGAUUUAUCGCCGAAAGAUUGGCCCGCGUCUGAUUAGCUAGUUGGUAAGGUAACGGCUCACCAAGGCGACGAUCAGUAGCUGGUCUGAGAGGAUGAUCAGCCACAUUGGGACUGAGACACGGCCCAAACUCUACGGGAGGCAGCAGUGGGGAAUAUUGGACAAUGGGGGCAACCCUGAUCCAGCCAUGCCGCGUGAGUGGUGAAGGCCCUAGGGUUGUAAAGCUCUUUUGUGCGGGAAGAUAAUGACGGUACCGCAAGAAUAAGCCCCGGCUAAUUCGUGCCAGCAGCCGCGGU
rnacentral:rRNA from 1 species